GCCUAUCUUCGGGUUAAACCAGCAUCUGCAGUUCCUUCCUACCCAUAUUGAUCUCAAUCAGGCUCCUUUGAUUUUAAAUCCAAGUUCUUCUCUGUGAAAUUAUAAUCAAAAAGAUGUUUCGGGGAUGGGUGGGGUUUAGAUGAGUGCUUUUGGUGAUUAACCCUGGAAGGAAAUAUUCUUUCCUCUGGAAGGCCGGUCCAGUGAGCUGAUCAGUCCAUAAUUCCCAUGCUGUUUCGGAUGUUGCAGCGAUUGCUUUGAAUUGCCGCUAGCUCAUGACAGAAUGAACGUGUUUACAGUCUGGCCCAACUGCAAGCUGAACUCCCAGUGCUGAAGAGUGGGAACACCUCGACUUCUCGUUGGCACUUCCCAGGUUGUGAGGACUAACUUGAAGGCUGCUGGUUGGCUUUGAAGGCAACCUGAUGACGGGUUUUUGAAGCCUCAGUCUGCAGAGAGCAGGGGGUGAGUGCAGAUUUAUGCUGUAUCUAGCUGUCUGUUUCAAUGUUUAUCCCGAGGCAAACAGUCUGCUCACGGUAACCUGAGUAUCUGGAGUAACAGGUGGCCAACAACAAGGGGCAGAGACCAUGGAAAAUGGGAGAAAGAGGCUGCUAAUCCACCAUGACAACAGCAGUUUUUUUAAUUACAGAUUGCAACCACUUAUAUGCCAAAUCUACAAAAGUGAAACUACAUUGAUCGCGGAAAAAAUAUAUUACAACAGAAGACAGUUAUGCACUUCAUCAUUGUUGUUUACCUGCCAAAAAUUACUCAGUGGAAAUUACUUUUGUAUGCUUGCAAACAUAAGCAUUGACAUAAAUUUAUUUGCUGUUAUCAUGAUGUUAAAAGCACUCAGCUUUAAAGUUGUUUAUGAUCUACAAACUGGAAUGGAUUUACUGAACAAUUUUUCAUGUCAAUUGUGACCUCUGUAAAGAGUGCCACUGUCAUAGUAUUUUCCUUCAGCUAAUGCCUCCUCGCCUCCUGAAAUACAUCAAAUCCUGCAGAGAGAGGACCUGUAGAUAGGGUAUGCAAUAUGUUGGAAAGCUACAAGCAGACAAGCUUCAAUAUGAGGAUCUACAGUAUCUAUGUGCUAUACUUGUGAUGAAGGUGAUAAGUAUUGUACCAAGUAAUGCCACAAAAGUAUGCCGAGUUUGUUCAGAAACAUUUCUGUUUACUUUCUGAUCUUCUAAGUUGAUGUUGAUACUUGGUAUAUUAAAAUUAUUUUUUUUAAGUUUCCUUUUGUAAAUAGACCUAAAGCAAUGCCUCGUCAUGUUAGAAACGUAGAAAAUAGGUGCAGGAGUAGG